rnacentral:lncRNA from 1 species
GAAGUUUUCUGCUCCUGUCCUGUACUGGUUUUCACUAAGCCAACUGUGAGAUUUCUUUGUUGCAAUAUUGGGGUCUGAGAUAACACUGCUGGAGGCUGGAGGCAAGAAACAUAGCCGAAACCAUCUUUUAGUGUGUGCUGUUAUUUACUAGCGCUGUGAACCAAGGAAGCGAAAAAACAAAGAGCCCGAAGACUGCACAGUUCCAGCUUGUAGGCCCUGGAGACAGUCUGGAGUCCUCAGACGGACAGAAAGAAGACAUCAGAAGGGCAACCUGUGGUGCCUGUGGCUGCUGAGUACAGCUAGAGAAGCACUGUAGGCUGGCACCCAGUCACCUUAUGAAGGAAGGAAAUUGUCACGGUGAACAAGCUCGAUCCUUCCUGAAGUGAAAGUUGUCCUUCACAGCCAGCCGCACAUGAAGCAACUUGUGACUGCUGAAGCCUCUGUCUCCUUUUGUUUCCCCAAGUGUGUCGAAAGCCAGCUUGGCUCAUUCUGCACUCUCCAGUCUUGAUCCCUGCUAUACAUCUGUUUGCAUCGAACAUUAAGUAGGCGUGGGUGACUGAUUUUUAAGAAAUCGGCAACACGGAAGCUGAUUAUAAAAUAUUCAUAAGAAGCUGGCUUUUACAGGUAAUCGCUUUUUUCCUUCUACUUCUUCCCAAACCUUCCAUUUCUUCAAAUAGUACAAUUUUUAGGACAUUGAAAGCUUAUAUAUUUAAUGUUGCUAGUUUAUAUCUUUAUAACCCAUCAAUCUAGCUUUUGUGGUCUUUGAUUCUUUGGAGUUUGAGAGUUUUUAGAAUUAAUUUCAAAAGGAUGUUUGCUUCUUUUUAAAGUAAUUUAGGCAGAGUUCAUUUGAAACCACAAACACUGUCUUUGAACUCUGGAUGUAUAUGUAUGUAUAUGUAUAUUAUAUGCAUAUAUGUGUGUCUAUAUAUCUGAGAAUUCAGGGUUUAUAUGCAUUUCAGAAGGUUGUUAUUAAUAUUUUAGCUUCAGUUCUACUUGAUUACAACUUAGCACUUUCUGGAACUCUUCAAUAUCCAUUGCGUGGGUGGGGAUUGAGUUUGGCUCUCAUGAUCCAGGCAGCUUCCUUUGGGUGCCGCUGAAGCACUUUGUCCCACCUAGAAAGGUUUACAAGCAUCCAUGAUCUGGUGUCCAAAAAAAAGUACCUUUCCCUUUGUUUGUAAAUGACAGCCCCAUGUUUUCACAGUUGGUUGCUAUGUGGUAGUGUCCUGUGCAAUCUUGUUUCAUGUAAUGACCCAAAAUGUCCUUUGGAAAAAGAAUCCCAUUUCCUUCCCCAACACAAAGAAGUUUCUUGAAGAAAGCUUCCAAUGACUACUUCAGGGGAGGCAUCUAUUGGCAAACAAGCUUCCCUCUUCAAGUGUAAAUGUUAAUAUUUGAAUAUUUUCUUUGUAACUUCUGGUCAGGUGUUUUUUGUUUGUUUGUUUUGUUUGUUUGUUUGUUUUGAUUUCUGAAUGUAAAACUUGAGAUUGUUUGGAAGCUAAUUUUAGUACAUGUGAAUGCAUAGUCCCCUGUCCUGUAUUUAAGAAAAA